UUAUGGUUGUUAUUUCAUACUCUUGGGAGUCUUUGAUUAAUGACUUAUUGGUUUUGAAAAGGAUUUGGUCUUCUUGUAGAUUUUCUUGAUAAUGAGUUAGAAUUGGGAUUGAGUGUGUGGAGCUGAAGUGAGGCAAUUUAUGCUGUGUGAAAGGAGAAUUAUCAUCAUAAUCCAUACACACUUUUGGGAACAAGAUUGAAGAACAAGAGCUUGGAGGAACGAAGAAGAGGAGGAUUUUUCAUGAAGAUUGCAG
rnacentral:lncRNA from 1 species